rnacentral:rRNA from 1 species
UCCGCCAGGGUACUACGAGCGCUAGCUUAAAACCCAAAGGACUUGACGGUGUCUCAGACCCACCUAGAGGAGCCUGUCCUAGAACCGAUAAUCCACGUUUAACCUCACCACCCCUUGCUUAUUCAGCCUAUAUACCGCCGUCGCAAGCUUACCCUGUGAAGGAUAAACAGUAAGCAUAAUGGAAAUAACCCAAAACGUCAGGUCGAGGUGUAGCUUAUGAGGUGGGAAGAGAUGGGCUACAUUUUCUGUAUCAGAAAAUAACGAACGGUAUCAUGAAAUCAAUACCCGAAGGUGGAUUUAGUAGUAAAAA